UGCAAUUUGGGCCCUUUCAAGUGGGCAGGGGAGGGAAGGUAUAGUGUUUUAAAUGAGCCGGUUUUAAUGCCAGUUAACCAUAUGUUUUUCCCAGUUAGUGAAACUAGACUAUCAUAAAAGCAUAAGAAGAGUGUUUUGUAUCAGUUUCAUUAAAAUAAGUUGAGUUUCAGAAUGAUUUUCUCUCAUUAACUUGAACGUUACUCAUUACUUAAUUUACAUUUCAUGUAAACCCUCGGCCUCAGGUCCUUCCAAACUGUUCCCAUUGUCAUGUCUGUACUAAGUUGUCCCAGACUCCCGCUGACAUUUCCUCCCUCUUUCUUCACCUCUGUUUUGUUAAUGGUAUGAGGUUCAUGCUGGUGGUAUAAUUACUAACAUUAGACCUAACCAAGAAAGACUCUGCUGGAUACAAACCCCAUGAUGCCUCACAGGUUGUCUGCCUGUCAAGAAAGAAAAGGUGUGUUAGUGAUUCCCUCACUGGCUCUUUGUAAACCUAAAGACAAGCCAGUGUAUUCACACAGGUGUCCCCCCUCACACACCUGAGGGACCCCCUCCGAAUCAACACAAUUAGCAUCCUCCAUGCCCCACAGAGUUGUACUCCCCGUGAAAACAAAUGCUUCUGACUGACAGGCAGCUUAGGCAAAUGACUUGUUUGAGAAGCACGGUGAGUCUCUUCGGUCUGGUGGAGUGAAUUUCAGCUUGGAGCGUUUGUGUUACAGAACAGCGUGAGAAAAAGGAGCACCUGGAUACAGCUCACCUAAAUUGAGAGAGGUUAUCUUGUCAAGAGUGGGAUUUAGACUUUUCAACCUUAUAGCUUUUACACCCCAGUUGCAGUGUUAGAGGUUAUGAGAGAGGUCAAAUGUGAUGAAAUGUAGCAUAAUAGUACGAUAAUUUCAACUGUUUUUGGCCUGGUUUGUUGAUAGGUUAGAUGCAAUUGACCCUUAAAGAGUAGAUAAGCUGUAACUAUUAUACACAUUAUUCGUACCGACCAUCACUACAUACAGUCAUUGGUAGCCAUUUGUUUGCUUUUUUUAAUGUUAAUCAAUUUUUAGCACCAUUAAAUUUUUACAACCUAUCAUUAGUAACUAACUUGAACUUAUGAUCCUUGGCAACAUACUUGCAUUUCAUUCCAGGGAUAUGCAGAUUAGCAUACAACCACUCAAUCAGAGCAACUUGUAACCAACACAGGCAUAUGGUGGACAUUAACCUGCAUAGAGGACCAAAGGCAUAUGUUACUGUUUCUCCACAGACCCUAUGAUCAUAAGUUCAACCAUUUGAUGAAUUGUGCCUUAUUUUGACUGUAAGUGUUGUCUUCCAUUUAAAAUGGUUUGUUUGUUGUAAUUCAAAUUUCCACUUAAACAACUAAGAACUUUGUCUCUUAAGGGCAUCCUUCUUCCUGUCACUGGUUUUGUGCAUCUUUCCUGUUCAGUUUUUAUUCAUGGAUGAAUAAAAAUUUAACAAUUGGGCAAUCACUAGAAACUACUAGAUGUUGUUAUUCGUAUAUCAUUUCAAAAUUCUCCAUCCUCUUUCUCAGGUUUCUGUGUGUACUUCAUCUUAUCUGCCAAGCAUGAAACCAGAUAAAACACAGUUUUUGCAGAACUUGAUAAAAAGUUUCAUUCAGAUCAGAGUGAUCACCCAGAUCUAACCGAAGCAUUUAGGUUUUCUCAGAAAUGUCACUUGAAGAACAUCAGACCUUGCAACACUGUUGGUCAGGAUUUUGUCAUGUUUAGAGUAGAACAAGACGUGUAAGGCUGCCUCUCUGCAACACUGAACAUUCAAAUUUAUGUAAAAUACAUCACUAUUAAACUUUUUUCUUUAAAUGUCUUAAAGCAAUAGUCAUCAUCUUUGUUAUACAAAAAUAUUCAAAAAACUAAUCUUCAUGCAUUGGCUUUUACCAUAAAGCUUUUAUUGUUUCCCCUUUUAUUUUAUUUAAGAAGUUUUGACAACUUAGCUUUUUCUUUUUUUUAGUUUUGCAUGAUUUUAAAUAACUAGAUGAGAAUCUUUUGGCAGAAAAAGAUGGUUAAACCAAUUACGUUUGAGCUCAGUAUGAAAUUAGCCAUUGUGGCAUCUUUCAAAAACGCUGGGUUGUCUUCAGAACAUAUUCAAUAGGGGCCAGUAGAUCCCAUUACUCAUCUCUGGAAACGUUUAGUUUGGUGUCCUGACUCUUAAAAGGAGCCAUAGCUGCGCUACAAUGUCCUCUGUGUCUUUUGCAAAGGACCCUGGUCGCCAAGCUGCACAUGGAGAGUUUAGAGAGAGAGAGGUGGGCGUGGUAUUAUGUCCUCAUAGGCCAAGCUGGACAGACACUGAUAGCAUCUGCCUGCUUUGUCAACAGAAAAGAGUUUAAUGGAAGAACUGAGCGCCAAACAUUCAGCAAGACCAGAUGAGGACAGAGAUGGAUGGUUGUGAGGUCACAGGCUUCUUCUGGCCAACGGAUCCAGCUUCUUAUCUCUGAUCCUCACAACCCAAUUGAUUGGUUGUGGAGCAUUAGUCAUCAAGUAAACCCAGGUCACAGCUUUCUUCAAAACACUUGGCCAUGGGCAAAGCACUGACAGUCCUCAUGCAUGUUCCACUGUAUUGAGAUGGAUGAACACUCAAGCAAAUAUGCUACGACUGCCAGAGCUGCAUCAGUGUAGGAGAUAAGGUCGCCGAGAAGUUCAGCUAUUGUGCAAUUUGGAGUCAUGUUUAGGAAAUCAUUUAUCCAGCAGUGAAAGCUUCAUUUUCAAUUAUGUAUCAAACUUUAAAAAAAAACGGUGGUUUGUUUUGUUAUUUAAAAAGUACAUUUUAAGAUAUAGGAUAAUUAUUUGUAAAUGCAAUUUGGCAGUUUUCAAGGCAAACCAAAGCCACUUUUUGGUUUAAGCCACCCUGACAACUUUUCCAACAUGAACACGCCUCAGCAUAAGAUCAACUUCUGAUUUGAUACUUUUACAUACUGCAUGUGGUAGCUGCAAAAAUGUCAAAGACAAGAAUGAGACAGUUGAAGUUUCCCCAUUGACUGUUCAUAAACAACUUGUUGGACUUUAAAAAAGGCUAUUGUAUUUUCCUGGUCUCUCUCAUAUUUGAGUAUGAUAUUUUAACAACACACAUUUUGGAUUGCCCAAUGUUUCAAGCCAAUGAGAUUAAUAUUAUUGUGCCAAAACGUAUUUCCCUUUGCAGUUUUGAUAGUCAACUUUUGGGAAGUGUGACAAUUUUUUUUACUUGAAUGCAUUUUUCUGUUAGCCAAACCAACAAGAUUCCUUUUCUCAAAAGGGACUACUGUGUUGAAGAUGUAUAAUCAUGGGGGUUGGGGGAAUAACCAGGUUUAACACGCCCUGAGGCGCUGCAGACAGAAAUCUCGGUGCCCUGCAGGGUAGCCAUUAGGGCACAAGACGAAGGGAGCCAAGAGGAUGUCUGCACUCCAGGGAUCUAAUCUGGUACCAUGGACUCCCCUCUGGAAAAAUCAUCAGUUCUGCAGUUCCUGAGAUCCCUCAGGUUCUGGCAGGUGCUUUAGUCCACCAACAAUUAGCCUUCCCCUGGCUUUGGCUACUUUUGUGGCUGAAUUAAGCCCAUGGGAGCAUUAACUGUGGUCACAUUAGCUCAAAUGGAAAAGUCAGCAGGGGCACCUUUUUCGGCUUGGUUAACUUGAUUGUUUCAUUUUUGUUAGGCAUGUUAAUAACACCCAAAUCCGGACUUAGUCUCAAGGAUCUUUUCAUACAAAGUCAACAACAAAAGAAGAUUGAAAAACUCUGCAUGCGCCAACAAAUUGCUUAACUUGCAUUGCCAUUCAGUCAGUUGAGUCAGUAGCUAGCCGCAGUUCAUGUGAAGAGUUUUGACUCUAUCUUUCAAGGCAGUUUACUUUUUUUCUCAUUAUUGGCCUCUUCUGCUCUCAGUUCCUCUGUUCUUUGGUCUAAUAGCAUCUGCUCAGAGCUCUUCUUAGAGAAGUCCUCACCUUUUAAUCUUGGUUUUGGGAAUCAGCCCUCCUCUUAUCGUGAAGCUUUGAGCUACUGCAUGAGAGUGAAAUUAAUUGUGUGCUAAGCAGAGUGGAAUUAAUGGCUUGCACUGAAACCUGUGGCCACGGCUGGCUUAGCCCUUUGCAGAUCCCCCUGAUCCUGCUUGUUACAGGAGCUUGGCCAUUGUAGAUGGUGAGAUGAUUGUGUGGUUUCAGCCUCUUGUCUCUGUCUCUUUUGUCUUCAGGGGAGCGCAGGGAUCUCUUCUUUUGUCUGUCUCCAUGUUCCUUUCAGGCGGUAUCACAGCUGGCCUCUUUAAUUCACUCAGGACAUCGGGUGACCCUACCCCCCAAGAGACUACUGUAAACACACACAGAAAAAAAGGGCUGAUUUCAACUUUCAGAACCUUUUAAGAAUCAAGAAGUUUUGUGGGGUUCAUAACAAACACAAAGCUAAACUCAUAACCCGUCUAAGAAAACCCCAGUUAAUUAGACAUGUAUCUAACAUUUUCGCAUUUAUAUAUAUUUUUUUAUUUUCCCCAAUCAAGCAUUGCCAAGCUUGCUACUGUAGUACAACAAAAACGUGUUUUGUCAGGUUUUGAAAUGCAUCAGGUUGUCCAUUGCAUUUGUAAACCCCGGGAAUCCCCAGUAUGUGUUGUCUAGCCAUCUGCCCACCCUAAAGAUGCUGACUCAAUGAGCCCGACAAGUGUAACUACUAUACGGUCUAACAAUUACCCUAAACAGCUUGGUAAUGGGUUUAUGGUGUCUAGAGUGACGGCCCGCAACAUAAAACUACAGGAUCCUCACAAAAACCUUACAUGGCUGUAAAUAUGUAUUAACCAGAAAAUGGGCCUUGUGUGGGAUCAUUUAGAAGAGACAAAGACUGUCCUUUGCACAAAGAGGGAAGAUGCUGUAAGAAAGAGGGGAUUCUACAUAGCUAAUGAGUGGCUCCAUAGAAAUGUAAAGAGGUGGGUCUUUAGGAAGAGUGGUUGCCCCGCUGGCCCGGCCGGAUAGACUGUAAAGUGUGGAGGUCUGGCCACUGUGCCCACUGUCAAUUGUGGCCAUGCUAAUCCUGUGGGGCCCCAAGUUAUAUCAUGAAGGCUUUUAUGGUGGCGAGAGGUGGAGGAAGACUGAGUCAUUACUAGACGGAAAGGCUCUGAUAAACCAAAGAUGAGAAAGAGGCUUUGUUAAGCAUUUGUUCUGAAGAGAAGCGCCCUCCUCUGACCCCAAAUAAAAUACAACUUCUUGCAUCAGCAAUGGAGGAUCAGCCAAUCUACCUCAGGGUCCUUCAGCAGUAAGGGCCACUGCAGACAGUGCCUACUCAUCUUCACAUGAAGUGGUCAGCCAUUAACAGAGACUGACAGAAAAACCCUUGUGUCAAAUGAACAUCAUAUAAGGACACCGACAUGAAAACACACAGAAAAGCCUUGUUCUUUUGUACGUUUUGCAAGGUGUUUGAGUGUAGACAAGGGACUUCUUUGGAAAUAAUGAUCAAAAAAAUUAUUCUUCAUGAUGCAAUUUCUGCAGUGGCUAACGCAACAAAAAUGUAAGACUGGAGCAACAACUAAAAACACUAGAAAAUUCCUUAAACCAUCAGUAUCUGGAGUUGUACAUUUGUGUUUAAAACACAAUGUAAAACUGCUUAAAUGAAGACAUUCCUGCUACGCGGCAGACUUCAGGCUGUUCCUUCAUCAUCACAUCUAAAUGGCUGAAUUAGGAGGAUAUCAGUGUUUUUUGUGUUCACGAAGAUGGGAGCUUGGAGAUUAUACCAUCGAUUGAAAUGUAAAACAGCUUUCGCAAUUACCCAUAACCUCAGUGCGAACCUUGCCUGAAACAAUGCAACUAGUUUCAAAGGCUGAGAGGCAGGCACAUCCCUGAGAGAUAACAAGACGGCAUCAUUAAAGGUAAAGGAAAGGAAAAGUAGAAUUUGAAUCUGUCUUUAUGUUAAUUUGGCCUCUUAACUCAACACCUUUUAUAUCUCCUUGAAGUGGGAAAUUAAGUCAUUAAAGAUCAAAUUUGGGGUUAGGUUCUUUUUGCUGUGUUUGUGGUUUGUUUAUGUAGAUUUUCUUGUAUGAAAUGAGACUUUUUGGUAAAAGAGAGAAUGUGUUUGUGAUCUGUUUUCUGACAGGUGUUGAAAGAAUGAAAGAACUUACAUUGAAGACCUUCAAAUUUGUGAAGUGUCUGGUCAUGGUCUGUACGAUAUGAAACCUUUUGUUGCUGUAUUGGUGGAGUCCCUGACCUGCUGUGUUCCUCAAUUUCAGAGAGUUGUGAAAGGUCUGUUCAACCUCAGACUGAGCUGGAUUUAACCAAUAUUUGCAUGCUAAUGUCCUCAGUACAAUCCAGUGCAGAGAACAGUUAUGGGAUCAGAGCAACUGCUACCUUUUUAAAAAGAGCCCUGUGUCCCUUUUCAUGGGAGGUCUUUUGACUGUUGGAAUUAGCAAAGUGCGCUGAUUCAUUAUGGGAGGGGGCUGAAACACACACUACCACACACACACACACUCUUUAGGAUGCACCUAAUCUCACCCUCCUGAAUUAGUCCAGAUGGAUAGGUUUCUUGUUUUUUGUUUUGAUGUGAGCUGCUGUCCCUCUAAUUCCAGCAUUUAAUCACACUGGAUGUCAUCACAGAGACCUGGGCUUGCCCUCAAACCUCUUGAGGAUGACCUCGAUCCCUUUUCAAAUCUGCAACAACAGCGGCCUCAGUACGAAGGGCAGAUGUGGGACAUGAGCCAAUCUGCUCUCGGAGGUGUUUGCCAUCUCCAUCCUCUCUGUCAACACACUGCUUUCUCUGCCACUCUGUCACUCAGCACAAUAAGAGACACAGCUCUUUUGGACUUAGAUGGGUUUAGAUGGAGGAGGCAAACUGUCCAACAAGGAUUGAGGUUGGAGGAUGUCAAAGGGAUCGUUUGAUGUUCGAUCGACUGUUGCCAUUUGUGCUUAAAAGGGUUGGUUGUUUGGGCCUUGCUGUUGAUGAGUCCCAACAAGUUUUCUUUAGUUUGGUGUUUGCAUUGAUUUGCAUACUGGCCUGGGGAUGAGCUUUAAUGAAGUAGGUUUCAGUGUAGUUAUUGUUGUGGAGUAAAUUGUCCAGCCUGCUGGCCAAAAAAAAAAAAGAGGAUAUAGAGAGCAGCGGUUGUAGCUGAAGAAAUUCAUAGAUGGGUGUUUUUCUAACAUGAUAAGUGGUUUGUGGACUGCAAUAUCAUGCUAAAAUAUAAGAUGUAAAAUGAACUGCUCUAAUAUAGCACCGUUCUUUAUUUCUGAACACUCAAAGCACUUAAAAACUACUUCUCACAUUCACCCUUUUAUACACAGUGACACACUCUUAGCAGAGAGGCUGCUGUGUAAAGUGGCCAAAUGCUCUUCAGUUCAAAUCCCUUUCACACACCAAUGGCUGUGCUUCUGGGAGUAACUCGCAGUUUUCUGUCUUGACAUUGAUCACUUCUUUUGGUAAAACUCAGGAGUAGGGGAUCAAACCUUCAACUUUUUGAUGACAAGACAAUCCGCUCUACCAUUGAGCCAAAGCUGCUCCAUAAACUCCCAUCAACGCUUCUCGAUAUGCUCAAUCAGAUUUGUUUGUACUUUCCAUGUGCCAGAAACAGCUGCUUGAGGGCUCCCUGAUGCAGAACUUCACUACUUUCCACGAGUCCAAUUGGUGUGAUUGACUUUAAAAGUUUGAAGUGCAUAUGUGAAUACAGCUAUAAUGUCAUUUUCAUGCAAACCUUUGUGAUUAGAAUUGAAACUACCUACUAAAAUCAGUGCUUGUGGGUCUGAUAUAGUGUAAUGAACUCAUGAGCAGUAAGAUUAUAGAUCUUUGUAAGGUAGAAGCCACCAAACUAUCCAUGAAUUCUUGGAGUGGGACCAAUUCAGCUUUUAGUUCUCUCACAAUCAUCACUUUAACAAUUUAAGUUUGAUUGUUAAUUUGUUCGCAAGAAUUAAGGUUAUGGGACGGUCAAUGUUGAAAGGUGCUAACUGUCGCUGUGUCACUUUACCUUAGGAAAAAGUAUCCAAAUAUGAAGUUGUUUUGACUUAAUUUUCCUGACUCCAUUAUAAUUUUAGGUUGGGACAAAAGUACCAACAAACCUACCUUUGCUCCCAUACUGUGCAGCACAAGAGAACAAAGCAUCAGCACAAAAGAUGGGUGCUGAUGUUUAGAAAAGGAAGCUGUGGCUUAAACUGCUGCUUUAGCCUAAAGGUGUGAAACACAUUAACAGCUUUAAAGCCUGAGGUCUUUCUAGCCAACGUGUAAGGAAACUCCACAAUGCAAUAGCAACAGGAGUCACUGAAGCCUUUCUCAACUCAGCUACAUCACACGGCGAUGGUACAUCAGCUGACAUACAUUUCACGGUAACGUGACAGACUGAGGUUUGUGUUGAUAACAUCUGUUUUAAUGACUGUGAGACGAUGAAUCGAGUCCUGUGACCCAUGUGGCUACUCUACGGUUUUCCCCCAGCCAUGCUCCAGUUUGAGGUUUAGUUCAUGGUGGCUGUAGGCAAUAAGCCCCGGUCAUGAGGCUGGAAACUGAAUGACAGCCGGAUGAGUGGUGGGAGCUUGGCUCAGAGAUGUGAUACCACUGCAGGGUCUUUGCAAACAAGACGGCAUACAACAAGCAGUUUUAUGAUUGGAAAGAUAGAAUGAGAUGAUAAAGAUAAUGCACAGUCACAUCAGUUUGUACUCUGUCUCAGCUACUGCCACAAAGAAUAUUCUCCAAUAAUGCUGUAUUGAUUCUGUUUUUUUCAAUGUUGAUGCACAAAGAACUGUCCUAAAAGUGGGCCUCUCUGUCUCUGUGAUUAAACAUCUAUUUUAGAUUUCUAAGAAACAGAAGACAUAAUGAACAUCAUUCAACAAACAUCUAUUUUCCUGGUUACCUGGAGUACCAGUGCCACCCCAUCUAGUAUGAGAUUUGUUCUCUGCCAAAUGUGCAUUUACUGAGCUAAUACAAAGAACUGAUGUGGUAAAAUUAGAUCAAAUUAUCAGGAAAUACAUUGCCCAGCUAUUCAAUGACUCUUGUAUAUCUAUUAGAUUGUGAAAUCACAUUGUUUUAAACUAAAUACACACAACUUAAAGUUUAAAUUGAAGGUAUAGUGUCUUGACUUGACAUAAUAGUGUGUUAUUUUGAGAUGAAUGUUGAGGUAAAGAGGAUAAAGUGAUGAGAAAGAGUUAAAUGUCACACUUGUCGUCACAAAGAUGGCAACAAUGUGCCCCUAUGUCAGCUAUGUUUGCAGAUUUCUGAUGUACUUCUUCCAUCACAAGAAAGGUCUGCUUGACAGAUUUUACAGGCAUCUUUUUUCCUUUGAAGUCUUUAGGGUGAAAUGUUCCCAGAUGUGGGAGGUUUCAGGAUGCGAUGGGGUUGUAUGGGCCACUGACAUUUUGCACUGUUUUGAACCUGUUGCUUCUAGUGGUUGUUUUGCACGCUUGACUUUCAGUAGGAAAGGCUCGCCUAUCAGCAACUCAGCUCUAGAAAACCACAUAACAAAAGCGAACAUCAUAAAAACACAUGGGGUGAUAUUAAUUAGUUACAUGAAAUUUAUUUUUAACUUCGCUAUGUUCGGUUCUGAGUGCUCCUAUGGGAACAUUUUGGCCUUUGGCAGAAUGAAAAAGGAGAACCAGCUUGUCUCGAUGAGUCAAUUUUACAUCUGCACCAAAAAAGAUCCCUGUGAAAUGAGGAGAUGAACUGAAUAUGAGGUCUCACCUAGUAAGGCACCAUUCAGUAUUUAGAGUGAAGCUGCCACCUCGUCCAGCAAAGAGUCGCAAAGAAGCUCAUGUUAGCCACGCCAGCCAGCAGCUUGUAGUGGGUGGAUCCAAAAUGCAAUACUGAAACUGACAGACAUAAAUGCCUCACGGUUGCAGUAUCUAGUUGAGGAUAUGAGUUUUUUUCCUUGGUGUUUUGGUUAAAACAUGUUGAAAGUUCAACGGUCCACCCUCUUCCUGCUGCAGCAGAGAUGAUUCUCUUGAUCCAAGUCUAGUAAAAAACUUAAUCCAAAGCAUGUUAUGCCUGUUAAGAUCACUUAAAAACUAUUAAGUCCAUAUGAUCUUGCUGGACUUGUCUGUGAUCAGUCUCACCAUGUCAGAGCAGGGUUGGAUCCUUCGUCUACCUCUGUGUAAACGCUUGGAGUGAUGGGAAUUUAGGCUCUAUUUAGUGAUUCAGAACAUUUGGCUCAACAAGAACCGCCUCUUUCAGCUACCAAAAAGUUCUGUUUUUUAGGAACCGAGUCCUUCACAACUAGCAUAUACUUUCACUUUGAUGUAGAUAUAGUCUGCUGCCACAGUGCUGCAUUCCUGCAGUGACGCGAAGUAAUAUGAAAAUAACACUGAAGAAAACUGAAGCAAAAGUGUUGGUAAUUUUUCAGAUCACCUUCCAUGUUAAAAGCAAGUAAACUAGUAAAACCAAUAAUUCACUAUUGACGGUUUCAAUAUCACCACACACUGAGGUGUAGAGCCACUCUGAAUCACUGUGGGAAUCCCCUUACCACAACAGCUCUACCUCACCUUACUAAAAAUGGCUUUUCUUUUGUCGUAAUUGGUGCUACAAAGAAUAGAUGUAUUAUGAUAAUGUCACAAAGUAAUAAAAGAAAUACAACACCUUUAUUCCAUCAGUAGCUCAGUGUCUUUAUGAGAUUCAUUGAAAAAAAGGGAAGACAAAAACUGAGCACACACUAAACCAGGCUUGGCUAUUGUCUUCUCCAGCAGCUAAGGGAUCAGGAUUUACUUAAGGUGCCAUCCAUCGUGGUUAUGGUCGGCCAUAAAGCAGAUGAUAAGUACACCUUUUAUGUGCUGCCCAUCCAUACUAUUGAUGUAAUGGCUGUUCAAUGUCUGUGUCCAUUCCAAGUUUAGUGUUUAAGUGGCUGCUGAUUGCCAAACGCAGACCAGGUCUCCUCCCUGUGGACUUGUCUAGAGGUUGGUUUAACACAAGGCCACGACCUGGCUGCUUACAAACCCUCCUCACCUUCUUUUCCUCCCCCUCCCCGAACCUCCCUCUCUGUCCCAAUCCAUCCAUGUCCUUGUCCUGUCGUUAUUUUAUGAAGAGGUGUAAUGAUGGUCGAUUUGAGUGAGAGGCAGCAGGAUCAGGAGGGGAGCGGAGUGUGCCGUCCAUCAGACUGCUCUGCCCUCACUGUCUCCUGAUGAUGAUAUCACUGGAGCCAGACACACACACACACACACACACACACACACACACACACACACACACACACACACACACACACACACAGCUUGUGUCGCCUUGCCUUAGGCUUCUUGUCUACAGGUGACUCACUGCGUCCCUUAUGGAGUGUGUCACCCUGGAGUCUGAUGUCUGCUCGAGUCUGGGUGUGUGUGGCGUCACACAACCGAACGCAUCGCUGAAAUGGAGCGUGAUUUACCCACUGACCCCCUGGAGUGCGCCUCUCUUAUGAACUCAUCUGUGACUCAACUAAUAGCUAAACCUGCCACCGAUUUAGCCGCGGCCCCGUCACCCUUUGACCUGGCUGCAGGUUUAUUGAGGCUCAGCAGCGUCUGCUUGUAUCUGGAGAGAGAGAGAGAGGGGUCGGUGAAUGUGUGCGCGCACUCACAGACCCGGUUUUUGUUGCCUUUAGGAGGCCUCACCCAGUGAAAUCAUGCAGUGUUGAACAUCCUUUGAUGGCAGUUAAAGCCAGCAGGCAUGAAGGAUCACUAACAGUCUGGAGCCCUCAGCAAAGGACAUUACUAAUGAGUGAUCAGUCUGUUUUACAGCCGUCUGGUGACAAGACACUCAUAUGACUCCAACUCCCCGUGAGUGAUUCGUUUGAACAUUUAAAGCGAUGGAAUGGCAAUGACGUUAGAUUUAAUUGCGACACACAGAAGCAUAUUUUACUUUAUGGCCUGAUAUUAACACUGUGAGUGUGUGUGUGUGUUUGUGUGUGAGUUAGUGUGUGUGAAUUAAAUGGUCGGUUAGUCUUGUGUGGGGUUAAAGUUCUGUCUUAUCGUUAAGUGUUGGUGAACCUGCCCGCCUGCUGUUGGAUGAUGUUUAUGGUCCUUAUCAGACUCUACAGCAGCCAAGCGCACACAUACAUACACACACACACACACAUGCACGCACAUACACACACUCUAAACAUACAAGCCUCUGCCUUCUUGAUUGCUUUAGUGGCAGAAACUGCACGCAAACUAAACAAACGUGUGCAGCCACACACACACACACACUCACAGCGCCUCUGGCCUCCCAGUCUUUUCCCACACUGAUAGAGAUCUGCAGCAUGCCAUAAAAAAGCACAGUCCUGGAUCACAGGGCACAACAGAGGCUCUCCUCUCCUCUCCCAGCCCACUUAGAUCACUCACAGCUCAGAGGGCUGAUAAGAUGAACGCGGUGCCUCCCUUACUGCCUCUCCUCCCCCUUCUGCUUCUCCUCACCCACUUCUUUCUCUGUCAUUGGUGCCGCCUUGUCUUUAAAAGUCUGCACUGAUAUUUUCACUCUCAAAGUCUGCCAGAUUUCACUCACAAUAAAUAUUCUGUUACUUCUGAAUCCAAGUUACAGGUAAAUCAUUCUGAUAUGUGGACAUAAUUGUGGUAACUUAGAACCACAUAAAACAGUGCAUCACUGGCUAUAACUCUCAUGCUUCUUUGACCUCAUCGUCCGAGGAUUGUCAUGACCUCAGCUUAAAAAAAAAAAAGUUUCUACCAAUGCGGACUGAACCUGCCUCCCUCGAGAAGAAUUUUUUAGUCCAAAUAUCUCAGUUAUUUCUAUGAUGUCAUGAUUUAAUGUCCAAUUAAUGGUUAGCAGAGGAAACUGAGAUUGUUUAAACUCUUUCCUGCAGAUUAUUUACUGGUGUUUGAGCAUGUCCAGCCCUUUGCUGGUUGUAAAUCACCCGCCCUCUCUUGACCCUCACAGCGCUAUAAAGCCGUGCUUCCUCUGGUAGGACGGCUAAGUAGGCUUUAAUGGAGCUUGCAGUGCACGCUUUACCCUUUAAACUCAAUUAUUUUUUCCAGUGUUUGUUUUGAAGGCACAAGUUGGUCUGUAAAUGGUCAUCAAAUACACAUAUUUUGUGUCAUUCACACACUGGUCUGAUAUUCGUAGGGGGGGUUAUUCAGUGCCACACAGAAAAAGACGAAUAUCCUCUUCUCUCAUGGUGAUGACCUUUCCUCGCGUCUUCGUAUCGCUCUGAAAAUAUCAUUGUUUUGUUCUUCUACUGUUCUACGCAGUCAUGUUUGGAUACGGCUGCUGUUUUUCGCAGCUAUCGUACGUCUUAUCUAUUUGCUGUAGAUGUGUCACCAGACCAGCUGCUCUCAGUUUGUCUUAAGAGAAGACAUGAGUAAGUAAACCGUAACACCCACAAGUGAUCUCCGUGUAUCAAGCUGCAAACAUGUCCCACACAGAGGUUGACUAACAGUUGUUUAGCUUCGUUGCCAGUAAGGCCAGCUGUUGUUGUUCUGGGUGGAAGUGGUCAUGUAGUCAUUCAGUGGCAGAUCGGGUGAGUAGUACAGGAGUAGAUAGUAAGCGGAAAUAAUUUGUGCAUCCAAGUCAAUCAACCCUCUAACAAGGAAACAAUGAUACUGAAUACAAUAUCACGAAAGAUGGAAAGCAAACACAAAUCUGGGUAGAAGUGAUUUAUUUGGAUUUCUCAGCUUAGUAUAGGCUCGUCACUUGGUUCUGCAGUUUCUUAUUUAUUUCUGCCAUAAAUGUCAGCACGUUAUCCGUUCUGCCAAUCAUCAGUUUCUAUCUUCUAAUGACCUAUAGUGACAGUCAUUUCUCAGACAGCUGAUAAACUUUGACCCAUUCCCUAUAAAAAACACAGCUUGGGUGGGGGUAUGUUUGGCUCUAGUAGAGGAGGGACUGCAGAUUUUUUGGGAGUUGACUGUUCACCCAUCUACUCAUCCAAUCAUCCAACCAUCGUCCGUGUAGCCAAGGCUGAGGUGCGGCUGCUGCAGACUAAGUUUAGUAGACUCAGACAUCCUUCUUUCCAGCAAUGUUUACCAGCUCCUGGGCAUUAGCAUGCCAUAUGGCUUUCUACUCCAAGUUCUUCUCCUAGAUGGGUGUGCCUAGAAAACCCAUAGAAAGGCAACUGGGGCAUUGUCAUCAGAUGCCUGAGCCAUCUUAGCUUCUCUCCAAGCUCCUGACCCUAUCUCAGACCCAGAAUAAAACUCAUUUAAGCCAUCAUUAUCUGCAAUCUUAAUCUUUAAGUCACUACCAAUGUAGAUCAACUAGUAUAUCAUCAGCUUUGACACAGACUCAGGUUCCUUACCACAAUGGCGGUCCUGUAUGACACCUGUAGCACCGACACUGGCACCAGCUCACCUGUCAAGCCCAAGAUCAUUGAACCCCUUUAUCUGUGGCUGAAAAACCUAAACAUUAAAGCUGCCACAAUCUUGAUACAGACAACAAAAAUUUAUGAAUAGAAAAUCCGAGCUGUGCGUUCCUCCCACACAUGGACUGAAAAGUGACUUUUGAAAAAUGUCAGGACCUCCCAUGCCCCAGAGUUAAAUAGUUAUAUGAUGACAGUGGACUAAUAAAAUCAGAACUAAAUGUUUAAAAUGUGAAGAAUUUUCUCUUUUCUUUGCCAAAUUGUUUUAGUGUUUGUUGCACUUAUUCUCCAUACUUCAUAGGGCAGCCGAAACCUUUCUGACACAAAACUCACCUAUUCUUGACAGGCCAGGCCAAGUUUAAUCACUAAUAUACCAAGAACCACGAUCAGACCAAACACAUUGGCGUAAAAUUCCACAAAGACAUCCAUAACUACUGUCUUUCCCUCUAACUUAAUGCAGAUGUAAUGCAAACUUUAACACAAAACAAGAGAAAUGGGAUGAGACAGCCUGUGUGGGAAAAGACGUUAGAGACCGGUAAUCGUUGCAAAGAAUGAGUGGGUGAAGAAAAAGGGUCACAUAAAAAGUGAAUGACCACCCUGAGAUGACUGUGAUGGAAGAGUUUGUGUGUUUUUGUAUGUAUGUGAGUGUGUGUGUGUGUGCGAGUGUGUGUCUAUGAUGAGGGGGAAUCCCAGCGCCAGCCACAGAGCCAGAUAUGGGAGUGUGGGAAUGAGACGAAGGGCUGGCAGGCUAACAAGGUCUAACACAGGAGGGGGAGGCCCAAACCAAUAUGGCACAGAGACUGCUUAUUCAACCAGUGGAGAGAGCCAGGGCUGUGUGUGUAUAUAUGUGUGUGUCUGUGUGAAACCAUUGGCCACUUAUCCUGCCCACUGGUUCAGUUGAAUUUCUCCCAUCCUUGGACUUGCAGUACUAUAACAUACACACACAUACACAUCGACACACAUAAGUGCCCCACACAUCUCUCUGUUUUUCUCCCUUUCAGGGAUCUUUGUAUUUUAAGUCUGUGGGGGUAUUUGGCUCACUCUGUGCGUUGAUGUAGAGAGGGGAGAUUUGGACGAACUGUGGAUUUGCUCUUGGCGCCUGGCUCUCCCUCAGGGCAGCAAUAUGUGUGUGGAGGAGUGAGUGACCGCUCAGAAAUGGCAUAGUGUAGACACAGUGUGGGGAGGUUUUCCAUUAAAAGGCUUGAAUAUGUUUUAUGUUACUUAUGCUUGAUGAUACGUUUGAUUUAUCAUUUUCUGGAAACCAAUGCUUUUGUAAGAGGGCACCCUCUGCACCGUGACACAGAAAUACAACUGUCUUUCUGUUGUGGUGUUGGCUGAUCUAGUCACAUGGUGGAUAUUACGGGAUAUACUCUGUUGACAAAGAAUGACCAGCUCUUUGGCCCGUAGAUACAGGAUAGCACUGACACGUUGGGGUCACCUGAGGCGAGUGGCGACCUGACUCACAGGGUUGUGGUUUGGGCAAUCUUGGGGUCGAGAGCUUCAUUUUCAAUGCUGGAUAUCACUGACAGGAAACAGAAGAUCUGCUUGUCUUCCUCCAGCUGGGAGACAGAUCAGCGGGGUCUGCGAGGACUGCUCGUGUCAUCAGAGAGUGUGUGUCUGGGCAGACAAGUUUUAUGACGUGUGGGUUGGCUUGGUGAAGCACAGCAGGUGUAGGGAAGGUAUUUUUAGGCCCUGUUGCGGAGGAGCAGGGGAUGGCUGAUGGACAUAUCGUUCUGUAAAACCCGCUUACAAGAGAAGGGGACAAAAACAUCGACAAACCACAGAAAAACAAAGCGACACAUUGAAUCUCCAUGGAGAUAAAGAAACAGUGAAAGGGCUAGGAUAAGUCUUGGUUCUUAAGCCAGUUUGUGCUUGCACUGUGCUCAAUAAGAGUCUCAUACUUCACUUCUUCACCUUGUGCACCAAAAAGAGAAUAACUAAGGGUGCCUCUUACCUGGAUAGUUUGGAGAACUUGUUCUGAAGCACAGCAUUUCCCUUCUUGACCCUGGUCAACUGGACAAUCAGGAUGUGAACACAUCAAUCACAGUCUGAAUAAAAUAAGCGAGCUGAGAUCCUCUACUAGAGUUGGUCUCAGCUUUGUUCCGGUACAACCCUGAAGUGGUUUGCUUGCAGUAAGAAUGGAAUCAACUGGAACAAUGACUGCUUGACUCAACACAAACCAGUCGUAGGUGGGGAAGUUUACAUAAAAAUAGCAAUAAGCUAACUUGAGUCACUGUCUUUAUCCAUUCAGCUUUAGAAAGCUGAUGUUGGGUGUGGCUACUUCACAGGACUUUACAACAUCAAUUUUUUCAGCGUCUCGUGUGGUUUCAACUAAGAAUUAUGUCCAGUUCCUCAAACCAGGGGAAUUUGUCCCAUCCAUCGGCCUCCACUUAAGCCAACUUGGUUUCGUACCUUCAAAUGCUAGGGUUGAAGUUUCUUGUCCAUCAUACAACAGCGGUAAAACGGCCACUCUUUCAAGCAUGAACUCACUUGUUUUUAAACUACUGUGAUUUUGUGAAUGGUGUCCAAAAUUCGACCUCUCAUUGUCCAAAGUCGAUUGUCCCACCAGUCAUUUUUUUGGUAGGGUUAGCUAGGAACUGGUAGGGCUUGACGAGUAGGGAUGUGCGCUCUUCGUCCACUUGACAGUUAAACUUCGUCGCCCUCAUUACUCGUCACCAGAGUUAGUAGUGUGUAAAACAAGCUCUACCCAGUAGCAGCAAAUGAUCUAGUGUUACAAUGCUCCACUAUUCAAGAACAGCUGUCAGUUGUGCAUCUUGAAGCGCAGUGGGUUCUUGCAGUAUGUUGAUCUUCAGGGUGGAGAUAAAGAUUUAUAUUGGCUGUGUCGGCUUAAUUGACCAGAGCUCAACAUGUCUGAACAUGCCUGUGAAUAGCUAGCGCAGGCAUAUAGACUUUAUCUUACAAGUUAGUGCCAUUUGACAAUGUUCACCACAAACACUGUGAUCUCCUAUUUGUAUGUUAGCUAAAUUGUGUUAAAUUUGGACUGUUUUAGGUAUUUUGUCUAACUUUUGGACUGACCACUCAGUAGGAUUUGGACUUUCUGUUUGAAACUAGCUAUUUAAGGCCCAUUUGUUUACCUGUGCAAUGAGAAAAGUAGGCUCAUAAGACAGUAAUGUUGCGGUACUUCCUCUGGUUUGCUUUAGAAAAAUGCAGAGUGACAGACCUAAGGGAAAUAUGCAACAAUAUGUCAUGUAAAUACCUGAACUGGAACAAAGCAAACAAGCUACAGGUGUGAAAGCACCCAAAGGAAGGUAAUCUAUCUGGAAGCCAUCAAAAAGGAUGAAAGAGAAAAACAAGACAUCUGGAGUUGUUUUUAAAUCAUUUUAUAAUACUCAUUUUAUCACCUUAAAUACAUCAUGAAAUGUGAUUGUACCAUUUUCUGACAAGAGAGUGGGUUUAACAAUAAUAAAGUCAUAAAUGCCCGAAAACACUAACUGACCUGAUUGGAGACAGAAAAAAAGUUAUAAAAAUGAACAAGUCAAGUUAGUACAGAAAAGUGACCAGACUGGCUGCCAGCUAAAAGCGUGCACAGACAGAAUUAAAGUUUUAAGUUCUCAUGUGCAAAUUUAGUUUGAGCAAAGUGAACUUUCUAAGAGGAGACUGGUGGAUGUUUGAAACUCGAUGCUCUGGAGAUUUAUAGCUUUAUGUUGAACAAUUUGUUAUUUGUAGCCACUAUCCGGCCUGUUGGCAGGCAUCAAAGAAACUGAGUGUUUAGCCGCAGCUCCGGAUCCUCAAAGCAAUAAAAGCAGUGUACAUAGAGAGAGAAGAUGUCAGUGUUUGUGUUCAAGAGGAAGAGGCAGAGAGAGGGAGACAGAGAUAAACAUACAGAGAAAGAGGGGGAAAGAGCAGCCUCGUUCUCAGGGCAUCUUGGCUGUGCCUGACGGGGAGUUGAUACGCUUUCUUAUAUGUGUGUGUGAAAGUGUGUGUGUGUUUUUGAGGGCUUGGUGUUGGCAUAGAAACUGUCUGCAGGAAGCGGCAGUUCCAGGCGGAGCUCCGCUGGCAGACGUUCUCCGCUCACUUCCUGUGUGCUGCGAGGCAGGGAGGCACGCGCACAAACACACACACACUUGCAUGCACACACACUCGCACAGGGCUGGAGCAGGGCAAGGCGCUCGCCUGGAGAGCAGUCCAACGAAAUAAGAGAGGGAGGGAGUGAGGGAGGGAGGCACAGAGGGAAAGGAGAGAGGGAGGGAGGACGGAGUUCAGCAGAGAGCAGCACUUUCCCACAGUCUGGGGAUUUGACACAUGGCUCUCACACAUUCCUCAGCCCUGCGGCUGAGCGAGCAUCAGCACUGAGAGAGAGGAGGGAGAGAGAGAGAGGAAGGUUCCACCCUUGGUGCUUGCAAACAAUAUGGAGUUAUGGAAGACAGGGAGUGUGUGUCUGUGUUGCCAUGUGCCCCGUGUCACUGUGAUUGAACGUGUGUGCCUCAUGCUUCAGCGUUCAAUUCUUUUUUUAUCCGUGUUUGGCUCAUCAGGUAUUAUCAGUCCCUGAGACAAAGUCCGGCAGGUAGAGGGACAGGCUCAAAGCUGAGGGCUGAUGUACACCUUAAGCUGAAUAUCACAUAAACAAACAAACUCAAAACCUCUGACAGAGACAGGUUUCACAAGGUUUUAUGAUUCAAAUCCAGAACAGAAAUAUAGUAAUGAGCUCUGGUAGUUCUCCAUCUCUCCCUUCUUGUCACUUGUCUUACUUUGUCUGGUCCAGUCCUUUCUCUCUCCUACCACCGCCCCCCCUCCAGCCUUAACGCUACCUUAAAUAAAUGUUAUGCUUAUGCUAUCGGGUCUAAAAGGAAGCCAGGGUCGCCUUUUUUGAGAGUAGGACACAGCCUGGUGAAAGUUGCUCUACAAAGCUGCACCCACUGGCCCCUGUCAACUGACACAUGGACCACCCCUACCAACACACUCACAGCUCAGUGUGUGUAUUUGUGCGAGUUAAAGACCUGACAAGCAGGAAAAUAAGAGGUUGCAAAGGAAACCUGGGGUGGAGGGAGGUGACACGAGGAGAAGAUGGGAAGAUGAAAGUAGGCAGGCCAAAUCAUUUCUUACUUGAGUACCCAUCUGCUAUGGAGGAUCCCAAAUUGGCAAUUAGGCUGUCCCCUUCUUCUUUUCCCUCCUCCUUCUUCAUCCAGCUUUCAAGCGUGGGGUCAAAAUCAGAACAUUUGAGUCUCUAAAUGGCUGUGUUUCUCAUUUAGCAGAGAAUCAAACACAGCAGGGAGGAAAAACGGCUGCGGUCCAGGCAGUGAAUGGCGGGCGAGCGUUUGAUGCCGGGAAAGCGACAACAAAGCGUUCCCGGAGGGAAUCAAUAGAAGGACGAACCAGCAGCGCUCGCUUGCACUAAACGCCUGUGACACCUUGACACUGCAACUUCCUGCUAAUUAAGAGCCGGUAGUCUCUUCCCUGUCAGCACAUCCUCAGUGUGUGUGCCUGUGUGUGUGUGUGUGUGUGGCUGAAGAGGUCAGCUGGACUGAUGAGUCAGGUCAGCAGAGAUAGGAAGGGAUGGGUGGGAAAGAAUAUUUUUGUCCAAGUGUGUGUGUCUGUGUGUGUGAAAACAUGUUUCUUUGUGACACUGUGGUUCAUGCUGGUCUAGGUGUGGUGGAGUGUCUCUUAUCUUCUGCCAGUUUUGUGUGUUUGUCAAUGGAGGCAUCGGGAGCACAGCUGCUGAAAAGCUUAGCCCGCUAAUAAAAGAGAAUAAACGAUAUGAUAGAGGUGGGUGUUACACUGUCUUUAUUCAGAAAAGCUGCAGGCUGCUUUCAGAGAUCACCUGCAUGUUGGCAUGUCAAGGAUCAAACCAGCAAUCCUUUUUAUAAAUGGAAAAAUAUCCCUCCCUGAUACAUAGAACAACAUCAUAUAGAAGGAAGGUGUCCCAUGUAUAGAUGUUUUGUUACUUCUGCACAUAUCUAGAGCAAGUUUUUCUAUGUAUCUACUCACUGUAAGUGUGUCUCAGUGUGUACCUUCUGCAAUCCUCUCUGGCAUUAAAUAUCUGUCAUGGCAUGACAUGAAGUGUCUUCAAGUAUUUCAGUAGAUUUGAGAGUAAUUAAGUUCAUGUGCCACAGGGCUUUUUCCUCAGCAGACAUUAAAAACCCUUCAAAAGGAAUCAUCUUUAAUCUCAUCUUUAGUGUGCAGCCAAAGUCAACUGUAAAUUCAUCUAUGCGUUAGGCUACAGUGGUGAGUAAAAGUGAGGGUCUGUGUGAUGGGGCCCCACCCAAGCUAAGAGUUUGGGCAUAAUGAUGUUCCCAUUGUGCCAAAGUGGAGACUGUUCCCCACUGAUGUCUGAUGUUUUUAAACCAAAGCGCUCUUUUGUUUCCAGAUGACUUGUCAGCUAAGAAAAAUGUCCGUCCUGUUCAGCCAUCGGAGUGGGCAGAGAAGAGGCCAGUGAGAAACACACAUGCUCAUAAACACAUCUGAAGUUUGGGGGACGCAGAUCAGGAGGGCUUUGAUGUUUCCUCAAGAUGUUUUGUUCAACGUGGCGGACGCCAUGCACCACAAAACCGUCUGUGUGUGACGGCAGGGGAUUAGCAGCUCCUGGACUCCUUCUAAUGAAGCCUGUUUGAUGUGAGAGCCCAAUUACCGUACGAGGGUCAGGAGAACAUGCGGGUUGUGUGCUUUUGUUGGGAGGGUGAGGGUUCAUCCCCAGCAACAUCUCAGAUGACCCUAAUAUCCACCUGUUAACUCUCAAUCACCCCAUCGAGUUUGGUUUGUGUCCUUCUACCUCAUGUACUCUUAAUUUUCAGAAGUUUAUUUGUUUAUUUGUCAUUUCAUUUGACAGACAUUUAAUUUAGAGUAAUGUUUCUUCUGAUGUUGAAGCAGUUUUCCUCCUUCUUCCAUCAGUGGCCAUUUACCUCGUACCAGUGGAUAGAUUUCCAGUGCAUGAGCUUGAAGGAGAUAGAGGGUUGAAAACUAUGCUGAGAUGUUAUCCACUCAUUCAGGCCUGUAACUGAACAAGAGCAAAUAUUUGGCUUGUGGGAAGGGAAGAAGUUGGAUAUGUUAGCAUGCUGAGUGUGGCGGAUGUACUGCAUGUGCGUGCUGAUUAAACUGAGCAAACGUGUAGAGCGUGUGUGUAACUGUGUGUACAGGGACAACUUUGAAUUCUGAGGACAUGUGUGUUGUGUCUGUGUGAUGGAGUUAGGUUUGUCUACAUUUACUUAAGGCUGAAUUUAUUUCCUCUAUUAUGCCACUAUGACAGAAGUUUUAAUAAUAUCCCCACCCUGGUAAGAUCUCAUGAGUCAGUUAUAGUAAUACUUGAUACACAGAUGAGACAACAAUAAGCUCUUCACUAGAAUUUCAAACUUCUAAUAAACUUUCCCUGAAUGGGAGGAAGUUUCGGUUUAUGAAAAGAGCAGAUUCAGACAUAAUCUUUUUUUGGAUUCUUUAAAUAAAGACCCAAAAUCAAACCAAAAUCAUCAUCCAGUAAGACAAGACCCAGUCUUAUCUCAGCAUUGAGCAAGUUAUUGUGGCAAAAAAAAAUGCAGAAACCUUGAGCAGAGCCAGACUCGUGUUAGAUCUGCUGCCAUUGACUUGGAAUUGGAGGAGGAAAUGCAGAAAGAGCGAAAAAGACAAAGAACAGCAAUAACAUCAGUUCAUACAGACAUGUGGUCACAAGUAUGUAUGUUAUUUACAGGGUUAGCUUGUGUAUGAUUGUAGACCCAUCAUACUUUAAUCUAGCAUGUCUAGCAUUUGUAAUAAAGAGGCUGAAGUUGAUAAAAGGAGUGGGAAUGAUAAUAUCAGUUACAGCAGCUGGAGUCCAAAUGUUGUAAAAUUAACAACAGCUUUGUCACUGGGAUAAUGAUUGAGAGACUGAUGUUAAUAGUUGAAGCAGCUGGAAUCAGGCAAAUCCCCAGCAGCAGGCCAUCUGUCAUGAUCCAGAAAACCUGUGAACCAGCGGAGCGGGGACUCUCAGAAAGAAGUGUGGUGAGUGGCUGUAAUGGGACAUGAAGAUUUAAAGUAAUGACACACAGACAGGUAGAGGAGAGAGAGGGCAAGACAGGAGCUCAGUGUGCCAGUUCCCAAAGAGCUGACGACCAGUAACAAUUUUAUUGCAUGAAAUCCCCUAAUUUUAAAAAAAGGAAAAAAAACAGACAUGAGGAAAUAUUUAGAGAUAAUGAAAAAACUGUUUUAGCUGAUUUUCACAAUCCCUGGAUCUGUCCCCUCAUCUGAGCCUCAUUCAUGUCUCCUUGUACACACUCUGCACAUAAACGAUUUAGCAACAUUAUCCGUCUCAUGUGUAGUUAAGUCUGUCUGCUCACACAUUUUGUUGAUUUCUUUUAAGUGAGAAUGAUGGAUCACUGCAUGAUGCUGUAAAGCAGGGACUCUCCUUACACUCAGAGCUUACUCAUCGUCUGCUAGGACAAAGUCUGGGAAUCACGUUCACCCACUCAGAACCAGUCCAUCGUCUUUUCUGCACAAUGAUCACACUAAUGAGGGCUGACUUCAUCAGCUCCCCAGGAGUGUUGAAUGAGCUGACGUUUUUGGAAAAAUGCACAUUUUACACCUCAAAUGCUUUACAUGCAGGUCACAGCAGUCAGCCAUUCUGUUUUCCACUUAUAAAUGUAAAUGAAUGUUAUUCACUGAGCACCGUUAGUCAUAGUUUAUGUAAAGAAAAUGUUGUAGGAAUCUGCAUAUUAUUUAAUCAUUCAAAUUCUUAUCUUUGACCCCAGAGAGAGAAGUUUGAUUUUUAUUCCACACCGUUUCCUGACAGCUCUAGUUUGAAAUUCUGAGUAAGACUUUCAGGAUUCAAGAGCUUGUAGAUAAUCGUAUUGUUUUACAGAUUGGGCCACAUUUUUGGCCUGUGAAGGCAGUUUCAUCUACAUCUUGUUAGCAGUCGAAAGAAACUUCCUUUCUUUGAUUUAUCUGAAUAAAACAGGACUUCCAACCUCAAAAUCAGGUAUCUUUAACCCAACUGUGGUUGUGAAUAGCUUCACUGAGCUCAGACAGGAUAGUGUUUCUAACAAAUCAAUACAUGGGGGGGGUUUCGUAAGCAAAGACGCUGCAACACUGGGUCAGUGAGGGCUAGGGUGGUCAAAAAGGAUGUAUAUAUGUAUGUGCAUAUUUGGGGGUGGGGGUUGGGGGGUCCCCUGCGUGCCAACAAGGUCCUGUUUGCAUCCCUAGAGAGGCCCAGGGAGGCGAGAUCUUAUCUGGCGCGUGCCUCGGCUGCAGUUUCCCACAAUCUGCAUGCUCCGCAGCCAGGAGGGGGGUGAGAGGGAAGACUUAUGAUUUUGUGCGUGUGUGUGUGUCCGCGGGGGUCCCAUCCUGUCAACUUUACGCUGUUUUGAUUGCCGUGACAUAAUGUGCCUGAAUACAGUGACCCCCCCUCCUCUCUCACACACACACACACACACACACACCCUCGUUCUGCUUUUCUCUUCUUCAAAGGUUCCGCACAUCAACAAGGGCCUCCUUUUCUGUGAAUGGCGCAUAUUUGGCUUUUCAUCACUGCCCCCAUUUGCCUUUUUUUUUUCUAAAGGCCCCGGCCCCUCCCUGUAUUUUCCCUUGCCUAUGUUUUUCACUUUGAUUGGGGCUUUGCUAAGGAUUAAGGUCUCAACCCCCCACCUCAAGUCCCCCGCCAUUACCAUCCGAGCAUGCUUUUCUUGUGCUGUUUGCCAUAAAUGAGAGGUGGCAGGCCAUUAAAGGACAAUAUUGCAAAGAUUAAAAGACUACCUCACUAGUCUUGAGUGGACACAUGGACACACUCACCUGCCAUUCUUUUAUGAGAGAUUAAACUUCACUUACAACUCUGGGAUGUUAAACAUUUCAUCACGAAGAAACUCCAGAUGUAGAGCCUUGACGAGCACUUUGCUUUCAAAUCAGCAGCUCUGUUUGUUGGUGUAUUCUCGGCUG
rnacentral:lncRNA from 1 species